CGAUUGGUCUGAUCCUGCCGCUGACAGCCAAUCAAAGCUAGCUGAACACUAUCGUCUGUUGAGAGAUUGGCGCAGCGGACUCAUUCGACUCGACCAUCUACUGUGAAUGUGAAGAGAGGCACGAAUUGCGUCCCGACGAAAGGACUGAACAUGUUUUCACCCUUCGUCCAUUAGAAAGAUAAACUGCUUCCCAGAUUGAGCAUACACAAUCUAAUGGUCUGUACAGAAUAUCAGCGAAUCACCAACCAGAAGCUAAAGACUGACCUGUAUGCUUCAUUGGACAGUCACACAAACAGUCUGCUGGCUUUAGCCUGAGGGAUGCAGGGGAAAUCCGAUCAGUGCCCAGAAGAUCUCAUCAAUGUUAAAGACAUACUCUGAGCAAACACAAAACAUCAGUGUUGACCGGGUUGCAUCUCUUCAGUGUCUACCACUGCAUCUUCAAGAUGACACAGAGCUCUUCUACACCUGUAAGGAGGGUGAAGACCAAGCGCCUACCAUUAAGAGAUCUGCUGCCAUUGUGUCCAUCAUUGGUGACAGUGAGGAUAUGAACACGGUGCCAUUUCAUCCUCAAGAAGUCAAGGUCUUUCUCCAGGAGCAGGUUGUUUUGCAAGGGACUAAAUGCUGGCCAGAUGCAAUAAUGCCUUUAUAUGGCUUGCUUAAUGUUAUCCAGGCUGAAUACCCAAAAGCAAUGACCUACACAUUUGAGUUUAUUCAGAAAGUCCUCCUGAAUGUAGAUGGCGAAAAACCCAAACCAAAGACACUGUCUUUAAAAAAUAAGCUGUAAUGUACAAAGGCAGUGUCACAAAUGAAUUAAAGGUCUGUUGAGGUUAUAAGUGACCCAGGUCAUGGUUAUACAGCAAAAGUUCAAUCAAGGGCAACUGGACUGGUUAAGAUUUCUUUAAGGUGCUUUAAGACAACAAACAACCUCUGUGGGUGUAGAUUGUGUCUUUGAAACCUCUUUCAAACCAGCUGUCCUCCCUGUCUAACAUCUGGAUCUUGUGGCUUUCAGAAAAGCUUCAGUUGUCUUUCAGAUGUAAAUAAACUGCUGAGUAUUGUUCUGAGGAGUUUGCUCCUCUGUGUUGGGCCAUGCGUUUGUGAAGAGGUUGUUUCCUUUUCCCAACAUGAUGUAUAGAUCUGUAUAUUAGGGAAAUGUAACGAAGCAACAAACAAAAGGCCCACUUAUGCCCCAUUUAACAACACAAUCCUUGUUUCCAUAGUCAUUGUUUACAAAGAAACCCUUGUAAAUGCUCACAGUUGGCAAUUGAUGGUCAUUCUGACCACCUGAUCCUAUGGUUUUCCAAUGACUAGUUAAAACAGCCAGGAGCACUAACAAACCAUUUGGAUGGAUCAUGGUUACUUGUACCUAAUUAAAACUAAACAGCUACCAUUCAGUCAAGCAAAAGAACGUUGGUUACGUAAUGUAACCCCAGAUUCUAUGAGUAUAGGCGCAGCCCUU